rnacentral:misc_RNA from 1 species
UUAAGUUCAGCGGGUAUUCCUACCUGAUCCGAGGUCAACCUUAAGAAAUUGGUUAAAAAAGACCGGGUCAAAAGGCUUUACUAAAAUGCGUGCUAAUGAAAGCUCGUUGCAUCUAGGGUCCAAUUGACGCCGUCAUUAUCUUUGGGGCCUGUCUCUUAACGACAAGAGGUCCAACAGCAAGCCGGGCUUGAUUAGUGAUA